rnacentral:tRNA from 1 species
GGCGGUUUGGCCGAGUGGUUAAGGCGAUUGACUCGAAUGGAAAACAACUCUUCGGAGACAUUCCUGGAAAUCAAUUCCGUUCGCGGGCGCAUGUUCGAAUCAUGCAGCCGUCG